rnacentral:tRNA from 1 species
GUCAGGGUGGCCGAGUGGUCUAAGGCGCCAGACUCAAGGACAGACUCCUUCCUGUCACAGGGGACUUCUGGUCUCCACAUGGAGGCGUGGGUUCAAAUCCCACUCCUGACA